rnacentral:rRNA from 1 species
GGAGGAAAGUAGGGGAUCGUAAGACCUUGUGCUUUUGGAGCGGCCGAUGCCUGAUUAGCUAGUUGGUAAGGUAAAGGCUUACCAAGGCUUCGAUCAGUAGUUGGUCUGAGAGGACGACCAGCCACACUGGGACUGAGACACGGCCCAGACUCCUACGGGAGGCAGCAGUGGGGAAUUUUGGACAAUGGGCGCAAGCCUGAUCCAGCAAUGCCGCGUGAGUGAAGAAGGCCUUCGGGUUGUAAAGCUCUUUCAGUUGAGAAGAAAAGGUUGUGGUAAAUAAUCACAAUUGAUGACGGUAUCAACAGAAGAAGCACCGGCUAACUACGUGCCAGCAGCCGCGGUAAUACGUAGGGUGCAAGCGUUAAUCGGAAUUACUGGGCGUAAAGGGUGCGCAGGCGGCUUUGUAAGUCAGAUGUGGAAUCCCCGGGCUUAACCUGGGAAUUGCGUUUGAAACUACAAAGCUAGA